UUUGUCUCUCAUUAUGUUGAACCUUGUGUGUGUGUGAGGUUUAGUUAGGCAAUCUGCAAUUGGAUCUACUGUGGGCACAUCACUUUUCAUUCUUUCAAUUGAGCCAUCUGCCUUGUACUUGGUUUUAAAAACCCACUUUGAGUCUAUGAUAUUAUUCUACCCCUCAAAUGGUACUAGUGUCCAAGUGUGAUUUGCUGUUAGAGCUUUAAAUUCUGCAUUCAUGGCUUCUUUCCACCUCGUUUGGGCUUAUAGAUCCUUGUCUUGCUUCUAGUACGUAUCUUCUGGACAUGUUGAUCGUCCUCUGAUGUAUCCUAUGUUGGACCUAUUGUUGCUGGUGCUUCAUUUGUAUAUGGAGUUGCCUCAUCUGCAGAGAUCUCACUGAGAACUAGUUGAUUGACAGCUAGGUCAUCUUCCUGAGGGUUCACAUCAUUGUUAGUUGGUUCAAUUGUGUGACUUGUAGUAGUACUUGUAGGUAAAGGAUGAAGAACAAUAGAGUCAGUUUCAGUUAGAGUUUUUAGUGGAUUCCUUAUGUCAAGAAAGCCACCAUGAAAUGGAAAGUGAUUUUCAUUGAAGACAACAUGUCUUGAGACAAAAAUUCUUCUAU